rfam:Oryza sativa Japonica Group DNA, chromosome 6, cultivar: Nipponbare, complete sequence.
AAUAAGUCCAUUCAUGAGUUUUCGUGUCCAACUUUGAUCGUCCGUCUUAAUUGAAUUUUUUUUAUGAUUAGUUAUGCAUGACUUAUGUUUUUAGCUUUUUUUUAAAAAAAUUAAAUAAGACGGAUGAUCAAAGUUGGACACAGAAACUCAUGGCUGCGCUUAUU